UGUGUGUGUGUGUGUGUGUGUGUGUGUUGAGCAGUAGCGGCAGUGAGUGUGUGCACGUUGCUGUGGGAGGUGGUGUGUGUACGUAGCUGGAGUGUGUUUAUAUCUUCGUGCUGACACACACACACACACACACACACACACACACACACAGUCAGGCACAAGUGUGUUAUGGGAAGACAGUGAAAAUUAAGUAGGACAAACAGCAAGAGAAGGAAACACACACACACACA